CACUGAUCCCAUAAGAGUUACAGUGGGGGAGGUGGGAAUGGCCAAUGAAGAUAUUACUCAGGUUGUUCAAGUAAUUCCUUCUGAUGCAGAGAAGUUGCCUUGGCUUCUUGAAAAACUACCUGGAAUGAUUGAUGAUGGUGAUGUUCUAGUUUUUGCUUCUAAAAAAGCUACUGUUGAUGAGAUUGAAUCACAAUUGGUGCAGAAGGGAUUUAAAGUUGCAGCUCUUCAUGGUGACAAAGACCAGGCUUCUCGGAUGGAUACUUUGCAAAAAUUUAAAU
rnacentral:misc_RNA from 1 species